GAUGAACGCUGGCGGCGUGCUUAACACAUGCAAGUCGAGCGAGAAGUUUUGAAAAGAUCCUUCGGAUGAAAUUUAAAAUGGAAAGCGGCGGACGGGUGAGUAACGCGUAGGCAACCUGCCCCAUACAAAGGGAUAGCAUUUGGAAACGAAUAUUAAUACCUUAUGAAACUUAACUAGUGCAUGCUAGGUAGGUCAAAGAUUUAUCGGUAUGGGAUGGGCCUGCGUCUGAUUAGCUAGUUGGUGAGGUAACGGCUCACCAAGGCGACGAUCAGUAGCCGACCUGAGAGGGUGAACGGCCACAUUGGAACUGAGACACGGUCCAAACUCCUACGGGAGGCAGCAGUGGGGAAUAUUGCACAAUGGGGGAAACCCUGAUGCAGCAACGCCGCGUGAACGAUGAAGGCCUUUGGGUCGUAAAGUUCUGUUCUAGGUGAUGAAAACUGACAGUAACCUAGGAGAAAGCCCCGGCUAACUCCGUG
rnacentral:rRNA from 1 species